rnacentral:rRNA from 1 species
GACGAACGCUGGCGGCGUGCUUAACACAUGCAAGUGGGGCGACGAACCGGGCUUCGGCCCGGGGCAAAGCCGCGAACGGGUGAGUAACACGUGGGUAACCUGCCCCGAAGACCGGGACAACCCGGGGAAACCCGGGCUAAUACCGGAUGUGGUCACCGUCCACAAGGACGAUGAGCAAAGGAAGCUUCGGCCUCCGCUUCGGGAUGGGCCCGCGGCCCAUUAGCUUGUUGGUGAGGUAACGGCUCACCAAGGCUGCGAUGGGUAGCUGGUCUGAGAGGACGAUCAGCCACACUGGGACUGAGACACGGCCCAGACUCCUACGGGAGGCAGCAGUGGGGAAUCUUGCGCAAUGCACGACAGUGUGACGCAGCAACGCCGCGUGGGGGAAGAAGGCCUUCGGGUUGUAAACCUCUUUCAGGAGGGACGAAGCUCCGGUCGCGAAUAGCGGUCCGGAGUGACGGUACCUCCACAAGAAGCCCCGGCUAACUACGUGCCAGCCGCCGCAGUAACAC